GUGGUUUGGCAGUGAAAGUCUCCCAUGAGAUCUCCUGAGGCUGAGGUGGCAUGGAUCUUCAUUUGGAUUUCAGGAGACAUGAACAACAGCAGCUUGUGAAGACAACACUUCUGUGAAGGGAGCCCACUGGUAUGUGUGUGGAGGGGAGCAGAGACAGAAAGGAAGUAAUAUUGAGUCACAGCAGUCAAGAAGGAUCAAAGAUUGGCUAUUUUUGACACACAAAAGGAGCAUCCAUUUCACUGCUCCAAGCAGCAGAGAAGCUGUGGCACAUCUUAAUGCUACUGGGAAAAAUCAGCUCGUGAAGGUGUUGGCUUUCCUUCUGCUGCCAUGAUUGCUUUUAUUCCCAGAGGAAAGUCAUCCAAGUAGAAGAAGAGAAGCCUCAAAGCUUAAAGUGGAGCUGCUGAGAUAUUUGCUCUAUGUUUUGGGCUUUUUACAAAGUGGUCUGGAUCAAGGCUGGAAAUUGUGAUUGUUGUGUAAAAGCCUGAGAUUUCAGGGCAGUGCUGGUUUCUGGGCAUAUACUUGGGAGUGAGAAAUGCUAAGACUGUGCUUGCUGAACUUGAACCUCUUUUCAUUGGCAACAGAAAAUUUUGUCAGGUUGUUCCUCUCCACCUCAUGUGAAGACCAUCUACCUAUUAUAAUCACUUAAUAAAUAAACUUGCUCCCUAUCUCUGCUUGCCUGG
rnacentral:lncRNA from 1 species